ACAGCCAUGCAUAAGAAUAUAACUAAGGAAUGUUUGGUGGAGCAGUCAAAACUUCCAUGUACAAGAUGCGCUGGAAACAACAGCUGCACGAUUAAGGAAUGCAAAGAAUUAUUGUCUGUUUUCAUAGAAGAAUUACAGAAUCGGCAUAAGCGGAGCGCUAAUGAUAUAGGUUCAUCAAACUCCGAUGAUGCUACAUCCGGUGAUUCAGAAGACGACAUAGUUAUCAAAG